rnacentral:misc_RNA from 1 species
CGGGCGCCAUACGUCCGAUCGCUGGCCACAAAACUCGCCUUGACUCGUUGGCCAAGAGCUUCAUCGCUCCGGGAUCUGGCGCUCGGGGUUCGGUUCAGCCAGGCAUGGAAGCCUGACCGGGACACGCCCAACGCAUUGCAUAGCCAUGCCACCGGCCAGAUGCUCCGGUGCUUCGUGAUGAAGACGAACUUCAUGUCGCUUCCCUCGCGAAGAAGGCUGCGGCCUUUUUUAGGAUAUCCCGCUCGGCCUUCAGCUUCUGGACCUCGCGCCUGAGCUGCUCGAUCUCUUGCUGCUCGGGCUUCAUUUGCCCAUGGCCGGGAAAGGCCUGCACCGGGUCGGAGCCGAACUCCUUGACCCACUUGCGAAGGACGUUCUCGUGCACAUCCAGGUCUCGCGCGGCCUGCGCUGCCGAGACCCCGCGCUCCCUCACCAACUUGACUGCCUCAACCUUGAACUCGCGACUGAACUUUCGUCUCUGCAUGGCUACCUCCGGCUUCAUGAAACACCCAAUCUCGGUGUCCAUCAAACCGGCAGCAGCUCANNNNNNCGAUGGAUGACUUCAGCGUUAGCGCGUGCAGGAGUUCUGGCAAAUUCAGAGACACUUCUUG